rnacentral:rRNA from 1 species
UACGUAGGGGGCAAGCGUUGUCCGGAUUUAUUGGGCGUAAAGAGCGUGUAGGCGGCUUUACAGGUCCGUUGUGAAAACUCGAGGCUCAACCUCGAGACGCCGGUGGAAACCGUAAGGCUAGAGUCCGGAAGAGGAGAGUGGAAUUCCUGGUGUAGCGGUGGAAUGCGCAGAUAUCAGGAGGAACACCAAUAGCGAAGGCAGCUCGCUGGGACGUUACUGACGCUGAGGCGCGAAAGCGUGGGGAGCGAACAGG